UACAGAGGGGGCAAGCGUUGUUCGGAAUUACUGGGCGUAAAGGGCGCGUAGGCGGCCAACUAAGUCAUACGUGAAAUCCCUCGGCUUAACCGGGGAACUGCGUCUGAUACUGGAUGGCUUGAGAUUGGGAGAGGGAUGCGGAAUUCCAGGUGUAGCGGUGAAAUGCGUAGAUAUCUGGAGGAACACCGGUGGCGAAGGCGGCAUCCUGGACCGAGAUUGACGCUGAGGCGCGAAAGCCAGGGGAGCAAACGGG
rnacentral:rRNA from 1 species